UGAGCACCGUAGAGCUUCUUGGAGCGGGGCUUUGCUGAGGUUCAAAUGUUGAGCAGAAUUUGGAGAAGCAAGCGGGAGUACAUUCAUGCAAGGAUGGCUGCAGAUAUUUCCAGCGGAACUGAAAUGGUACUGGAAAGAUAAACUUGGAGAAGAGCAGUGAAGAUGCUACCUCACCGUGGCGCAAGUUACUGAGCGUCAGGGGAGCAGAGCACUGCUGGGGAGACCGUGGUGCACGGCCGGACUGACUUUGCCGUCUCUGGGACCGCGGCUGCGUGGAUGCGCAGGAUCUGGCUCCUGUCACUUGGCAUGCCUAGCGGUGGCACCAGUCUGUAACACUGGGUACAAGGUGAGCACCUGAAAUUAAAGCUUGAUGAAGAUGACUGGGCGUUCUUAGGAUGAUAUAGGAGGAGGAACGUAAGAUUCCUGGAGCCGGCAGGCAGUCUCCGUACCACCUUUGUGGUGGCAUAGGUAGGAUUUCAGUGAUAU
rnacentral:lncRNA from 1 species